rnacentral:rRNA from 1 species
GAUGAACGCUGGCGGCGUGCUUAACACAUGCAAGUCGAACGGGAUCCAAGGGCGCUUGCGUUUUUGGUGAGAGUGGCGAACGGGUGAGUAACACGUGAGUAACCUGUCCUUUUCUUUGGGAUAAGCUUCCGAAAGGGUGUUUAAUACCUUAUGUUCUGUCUGCCUCGCAUGGGGUGGGUGGGAAAGAUUUUUUCGGUAAAGGGUGGGCUCUCGGGCUAUCAGCUUGUUGGUGGGGUGAUGGCCUACCAAGGCUUUGGCGGGUAGCCGGCCUGAGAGGGUGGUCGGUCACAUUGGGACUGAGAUACGGCCCAUACUCCUGCGGGGGGCAGCAUUGGGGGAUAUUGCCCAAUGGGCCAAGGCUUGCUGCUUCCCCCCCGCCGUUGGGGAUGAAUGUCCUCUGCUUGGAAGCUUUCUUUUAACCCUAAACUA